GCUUGAGCUGCUGCUCGUCCCACAAGGCCAGAGACUCCUCGUCGUCGUCAUCAGGGGGGGCCGUCGUUCAGCCGCUCGAGAGUCGAUCUCGUUGGAGAGCUUGUCGUCGUCCCAGUCGAGGCCUUGGAUUUGCUCUUGGCCGCCGGAAGAAUGCCUAGCGGUGUCCACCCGUGCAGUGCUGCCGAGAUCGACUGGAGUGGGUGUGUUUUGGAUCUUGGUUCUCUUGUCACCUGAUCCUCGCGAGCUGCUGGAGCAGCCAUUCUCCAUCUCCAAUCCAAACCCUAGCCUGUCCUGCCAUUCUCCAUUUUUUUUUUGAGAAAUGUUUCAGCAGAAAAGAUGCAAGUUUUCUCUCGUCUCGGCCUUCGCCCGUUGUCAGUCAGAGACACCGCCCCUUCUGCCCCCUCCUCUCCGGCGACCCCUUGAAAAAAAAAACCUGCUCUCCGGCGGUUCUCCCCCGCUCCCAAACGCCGCUGUCCAGUCUCGCCCGGGCCCGAUGGAUCGUCGGAGGGUUCGACGCUUAGGGGCUGCCAUGCACCCCCUCCUCGCAGCUGCGGCCAGUGACGGUGCCACUCCCAGCACCGCCGCCGCCUCUCAAACCCGCGGCGGGAGCUCCGCAAGUGCCGUCAGGCUCGACGUCGAAGCUGACAUCGACCAGGGGACAUCAUACUUUGCUGAUGAGCAGCACAAGAGGGUGGCAUCUGGGAGCUCUUCAGCGAGGCUCAGCGGAGUAACUAAUUGACCUAUCCCUUGUUUCACUCAAAUCUAGUGUUGCUGUGGGUUAAUGACUGAAUGUGUGCUAGUUUCUGCUAUGACAUGCCAACAAUUCUCAGUUACAAUAAUGCAUUCACAUUGCUUUGUCGUUUGGAAAGGCAAUAUGACGUGAAAAACUUUCCUGUCAUCAGACAAUAAGUAGUAUGAACCAGAAUGUAUAUCCUAAAAAAGGAACCAGAAUGUGAAAUUCCAUGAUCUUGAGCAGUUCAAGGCUGCUUGGUAUUGCUAUCUUUAGAUGGGAAAGUAAAACACAUAUGUAAAAUUGCAAGCAUGAGUACAGAUGAAUUUUCCAAGUAAUGGAUCCAGGUAAAAGCCACAAACUAAAGUUCCUCCUUUGAUAUUUUUCUCACAAACACGUGUCUAAACGUGUGUCAUUUUAUAUUAGAAGAAACACCAGGAAGGCGUGAAGAGUACAGAAGAACUAGGCUACAACAGACUGUACAGAAGAAUUAGGCUACAACAGAAGCUCGUACUAUGGAUCAACGCAACCUGCCUGUCAUGACUACCGCAAUACAGCUACGUAUGAGUACAUAAUCUCUACAUAUGGAGACAGACAUGUCUCUUUCUCAAGUUCUUGGCGACAUCGUAAGUUGGCAAUCUCCAGGGAACUAGCUAUUAUUUUUACAAAACAGGGUACUAGAUCUCAUGUCACGGUGCUGUAAGUUGCUGAUUUAUGCGUGACUAAUUAUGUCCACAUAAAGCAAUGAAGGGACGUUUUGAACCAUCAGCAUAAACCAAGUUUGCAAUUACUCAGCCGGGAAGCAAAAUCUUUCUCUCUGAAUAAAAGAAUGACCGUUCCUGGUGGGGUUUGCGGAUGAAGGAUGCAGUGGCAAACGGUUUAUCAUGGGAUGCAAAGUGCUAUGCAAUACAUUGGGAAGCUUAUUCAUGUAUAAGGAAGCUCUGACAUCAAGAAAGUUCAUUGAAAAGGAAUAGUGAACUUGGGCUCCUGCCUGUCAGCGAGCAGAAAUAUUUUGUCUCUCUGAAUCUCUGACCCCGUUGAGAGUGCACACAGGCUUGACAGCAGUCGCGUCGCAGGGCUAAUGAAAGUUCAGGACACGCCACGCUCGCCCUGUGACAUGAACUGAAUUAUCAGGGAGUGUUCGGAGGAAGGGGCGGGAGCUUGAAACCCGGCACGGGCGUGACGGAAUUGCCUUCCUCCCCACCAGCGUCCCGACUUCUUAACUUGCCUGGCGUAAUGUGUAACAAAUAUAAAGAUGAACUUGUGCUCACUUACAGAGAUUGCAUCACCGUUCAGUUUCCUUUUUUUUGUGAGAAUACUUUCUGUAGCUACUUUCAGUUGUGAGAAUGUUUCCUCCUUCAGUAUUUA